rnacentral:lncRNA from 1 species
GUGGGUGUGAGAUUCAGUGGAAACAUGAAUAAAAUAGAGAGCUACGUGUCGGCUAGCUACUGGUUAGAAGAAGAGGGUGUGUUGACUGUGUACAUGUGUCAAAUAGAGAUUAGUAGGGAGAAGGGUGCAUGGUGCGUCAUUAUGAACCCGCUCAUAGAGAAUCCCUCUUUGUUGCAGUGAUGCAGAUCUGCCGCGACAAGGUGUAGGGAUGGAGUUGACGUGUCAUAGUCUGGUUGGUUGAGUCUGUAGUCAACAAUAUCAGUCAACAGAUCUAAUGGUGAACAAGAGGAGAACAUGUAGCCUACAAUGUGCUCACUAGCACUGGAUCACAUGCUCUCCUUUUUACUUUUCUCUCUCCUACUAUACUUUUUGCUUUUUCAUCAUUGCUUUUUUUCUUCUCUUUCUGCACGCUCCUUUUUAUAUAAGAUGGUGUUUUUCGGUGUUCACAGUGUGUAUUUGCAGUGUAUAUUUUCAGCCCGGAAGAAGAAGAAAAAAAUACUCAUAGACUUAGGUUUAUUUAUAGAAUAAAAAAUACCUAAUUCCCACCUAAAAAGCUGCUAACUUCCCUAUGAUUCCCCUCUUUUUUGGCAGGUUAUUCCUCUAUCAGGCCAAGUCAAAUUUGACUUGGUCUUUUAUUCAUUUCUUUAUAUAAUAUUCACCCAUUAUUAUAAUUUUAUUUAAUUUCGGAUUAAAAUAAUAAAUAAAUAUUUUUUAAAUAUAUAAUAUGUUUUGUAGACAUAGUUAUGAACUUGCGUCAUAUGUUUCGAGUUUGUUAAGUAAGACAAGUACUUGUGGAUUACUAUUUGUAUUUGUAAUUUAGACUUUGGAUUUAUUAAAGUUGUUUGUUUAUGAGAAUUCUUACUUUGACUAUAAAUAUGGAUUAUAAAUUUGAGUAUCUACAUAUAAGAUAAUUUUUGUUACAAGUUUACACACAUAUAUAUAAGCAUGUAUGUCCGGUUUAACCGGUUUUAUCCCAUGCAAUUUAAUUACUGAAUCACUGGUUGAACCACUAAAUCACUAAACCAAUACCCUCACCGGUUUGAUGACCGGUCCGGUUUUAAUAACAUUGCAUGGGUUUUGGGCUUUUUCUGGACCGGACAAAAAUGAGUGUUCACAGUUGCCCCUCUUUACUUGUUGCGUACCGGAUAGCAAGCAAACCGAGGUUUGAGAGAUAUGAUGGUAAGUAACGAGUAAAGAAGUGAACAUUAUUUUGUCGAGGCUCUCACUGUGAAAUUAAAUCACAAACUUAUCCUAAAACAACAAUUUCAAAAUAUUUUAAUCCAUUGUUGGUUAAGAUACCUUUAGUUGUUAAGAAGUUAAGAAGAAAGAAAUAAAUGAGAAAAAUGACUAGAAGAAAGAAAGAGAUAAGAGAAAAAAUAGAAUUGUAAGUUGUUUGGUAAAAAAGAAAAAGAAAGGAAAAAAAUAUCAUAGAAUAUGACUUUAUAUUUUCACCUACCAAAUAGACAAUUAAACCCUUAAUUACAUUAAUAAUACAUUUCAUUCUAAUUUAAAAAUAAAUAUUUAUUUAAAAGGUAAAAAAUAUAAUAUUAAUAAUAAAUAUAUAAUACUAUAUCAUUGAUUAAAUAUAUAGAUUUAAUUAAAAUGUCCAAAAAAAUAUUGAAAUAAAAUUGAUACAUUUAAUUAAAAUAUUGAACUAAGAUAAAAGACAACACAAUUAAUCCCACAAGGAGAAGAAGAGUUUUGUUAUGAGACCUAUAUAACUUUUCCUCCCUCCUUCCAUUUCAUCACUAGUACCAAAUGGAAGAAAUGGUCAAACUCUCUUCUCUUUCUCUCUAUCCUUCUUAAAUCACCUCUACCAAACAACUUAAUGUCUGCACCACUAAAGAAACACUAGGACUUGUGCUAACAAAAUCAAUUGCUCAAAAUUAAAUAACAAGUUCUAUGUUGUUUUUAACGAUUUUGGUGCAGAUCACUAGAGGUGGAUGAAUAGAAAAGGAGGAAAUCUGGGAGGCAGUUAAUUUAGGGUGCCCCAAUAUGUACGAGGCUCUCACAUGAGGGGAGCUGAUGAGAAUAGAUGUAUACAACAUUAUCAUCACUGUCGUGCCCCGAUUUUCGGCUGCACGACUUUGUUUAGAGUCGCCACUACAUUUUAUAGUUAAAAAUGUAGAAAAAUCUGUUAAGCCCAAUUACCCUGGGCUUUUGGAUUUUUGAUAUCCAGGUUCGGGAGUCGGUUACAAGGUAGAGAAUGUAUUAGCACCCUACCCGCCCGCCUUAAGCAGUACCCUUCAUUAAAAUAUAUGACUUUAUUGUUAUUAUUAUUAUUUUAUUAAAUUAUUUGAUUAAUUAACUAAUUAUUAUGAAGAAAAAAAUUAUUUAUUUUUAUUAUUGAGCCUGACAAUAUUGACUUUGGUCCUACGUACCCCUAUUAAGGGGAUCAAGACUUACGUAGUUCUUUAAGUAGAAAAGGGUUUGUUGGUUGAGUGUAUUUUAAUUAAAGAAAACAUAUUUUUAGUCAAAAAUAUAUAUUUUGCAGUUUUGUUUAUCAUUGAAAAAGGUUUUUUUAUUUUGUUAUUUAAAAAAAUGGAACUAAUUUGAUUUUGAGAUUUAAUCGAUUGAAAAGAAGCGGCGUAGCGUGACCUUUCGAAGAUGAUCUGAGAAGAAAGAGGCCUCCAGGGCGACCUUCUCUCCAUCUUUGAUUAACUCCCAAAAUUUAUAUCACGAGCAUUUAUAGUUUAAUAUUCUUAAAUGUAUACAUUUAUAGUUAUAACUUUAAUCACGGCAAAAAAAUAUGGUUAUUAUUUAGUUAUCAAGAUUUCUAUUUUAAAUUAAAAAAAUAGUGUGUUGAUCAUUUGUUAUGAAAAAUAAAUAAAUUAUUUUUAGUUACUUGUUAUUGCUAUUUAGUCAUAACAAUAUUUUUAUAUUUUAUUAUUGUGAUUGGACCUAUAUAAAAAAAAUCAGAAUACAAUUAUAUUAAGUGAUUCUAUAUUUAUAGUACAACAAUAAUACAAUUAAUAUCUGUGAAUAAAAUAGAAAUAGUAACAAAAAUAAAUAAAAAGAAACCUGGUGGGUGUGAGAUUCAGUGGAAACAUGAAUAAAAUAGAGAGCUACGUGUCGGCUAGCUACUGGUUAGAAGAAGAGGGUGUGUUGACUGUGUACAUGUGUCAAAUAGAGAUUAGUAGGGAGAAGGGUGCAUGGUGCGUCAUUAUGAACCCGCUCAUAGAGAAUCCCUCUUUGUUGCAGUGAUGCAGAUCUGCCGCGACAAGGUGUAGGGAUGGAGUUGACGUGUCAUAGUCUGGUUGGUUGAGUCUGUAGUCAACAAUAUCAGUCAACAGAUCUAAUGGUGAACAAGAGGAGAACAUGUAGCCUACAAUGUGCUCACUAGCACUGGAUCACAUGCUCUCCUUUUUACUUUUCUCUCUCCUACUAUACUUUUUGCUUUUUCAUCAUUGCUUUUUUUCUUCUCUUUCUGCACGCUCCUUUUUAUAUAAGAUGGUGUUUUUCGGUGUUCACAGUGUG